UACGGAGGGGGCUAGCGUUGUUCGGAAUUACUGGGCGUAAAGGGCGCGUAGGCGGUUUGGACAGUCAGAUGUGAAAUUCCUGGGCUCAACCUGGGGGCUGCAUUUGAUACGUUCGGACUAGAGUGGGGAAGAGGGUCGUGGAAUUCCCAGUGUAGAGGUGAAAUUCGUAGAUAUUGGGAAGAACACCGGUGGCGAAGGCGGGUCUCUGGGCCGAUACUGACGCUGAGGAGCGAAAGCGUGGGGAGCGAACAGG
rnacentral:rRNA from 1 species